rnacentral:rRNA from 1 species
UUAUGGCUCAGGAUGAACGCUAGCGGCAGGCUUAACACAUGCAAGUCGAGGGGCAGCGCGAGGUAGCAAUACUUGGCGGCGACCGGCGAAAGGGUGCGUAACGCGUGAGCAACUUGCCCGUAUCUGGGACAUAAGCGGUGGAAACGCCGUCUAAUUUCCCAUAACAACAGAGGGCGCAUGACCUUUGUUGAAAGAUCCGUCGGAUACGGAUGGGCUCGCGAGACAUUAGCUAGUCGGCGUGGUAACGGCACACCGAGGCGACGAUGUCUAGGGGUUCUGAGGGGAAGGUCCCCCCACACUGGAACUGAGACACGGUCCAGACUCCUACGGGAGGCAGCAGUGAGGAAUAUUGGUCAAUGGGCGCAAGCCUGAACCAGCCAUGCCGCGUGAAGGAAUAAACGGCCCUAUGGGUCGUAAACUUCUUUUGUGGUGGAGCAAUAAGGCGUACGUGUACGUCGAUGAGAGUACAUCACGAAUAAGCAUCGGCUAACUCCGUGCCAGCCGCUGC